rnacentral:rRNA from 1 species
AGAGAGCGACGGGCGAUGUGUACACACCUCAGAGCUCAUUUCAAAUAAACCUUUUAUUUCUAUUUUACUACUAAAUCCACCUUCAUAAUAACUAUACAAAUACUAAUCCGUAGUAAAUUAAUUUUAUUGUAACCCACUACUCCCGAGUUCAUCGGCUGCACCUUGACCUGAUGUCACAGCAAUAAACUAGUUAGAUAAUAUUUUUUAAAAAUAAUCUGACAACGGCGGUAUACAAACUGAAAGCAAAAACACGUAAAUUUAAUCGUGGAAUAUCGAUUCAAGAGCAGGUUCCUCUAGUAAGAAUGAGGUACCGCCAAAUUCUUUAGGUUUAAAAAUAUUAUUACUACCCCGGCGCUCGAUAAUAAAGAAUAAUAGGGUAUCUAAUCCUAGUCUAAAACUUUAUCUCAAAAGAUAUAAAUUUUUUUAUAAUCAUUACAAUACAUAUUUAAAAAUUUCACCCUUAAAUAAAUAAUUAAAAAACUAUCUUAAAAAAUAAAUUUCUACUUAAUUCCACCAAAAAAUUUUAUUAGACCCCAUCGUAUAACC